CGUAUCUCUUUUCUCAAGUAGGCUUGGUACAGCCCCGCAAACGCACUGAGCCCUGCAGGGCAGUCAACCACGUGUAUUCAAGAUACCCUACAUUACGCCACUUAAACACCUAAAGGUCCUGCUCUGGGCAGAAUGAUGAUGGAAAGGCUGUGUGUCUGCCAAGGGGAAGUGAUGUCAUUGCUUUGACAACAGGACAGCCAAUCAGGAGUGAGAGGACGGGAAACGCUGAGCACCUCAGCCGCAUGAAACUCAGAGCAUGGGACCGAGCAGCCUCAGGCCUCAGCAGCCUCCAGGAGUCGAGGGGUGACUGGGAAGGCCAUUUCACUCGGGCCCCGCUGGCCGUGACCACAGCUGAGGGUGGGGGGGUGUGCGCCGGAUAACGUGGGCGUUCCGGAGCACUCCACGAACUCCUUCACAACUGAACAUUCUGUAAAGACAGCGAAGCCAAGAGAAAGAAAGAGGAAGAGAGAGCUGAGAUGAGGGAUGAAGAGGAGGAGGAGGUGGGGAAGGAGAGGAAUGGGGCGGGGGUAACAUCUCCCCUUGCGUCUCCAUAAAGUUGUUUAACAGCACCUCAACGGCGACGUUCUCCGCCAAGCCCUGGCUCAAGGCACACUGUUCCGCUCUCCUGACGAUUUGAGUCAAUCUUUAAAAAUGAGCUCCGCUCCACUUUAAGCUUUCCCCGUGGCGUCACACGUGAUUUUCACCGCCUGCAUAGGAGGACUGGGGAGGGGAGGGGGAUUUGCAGUUGCAGAGGAGAGAAAAAAAAAACAUUAAAAUGUCCCAUAGUUAUCUGUGGGGAAUCGUGUAACAGGGCCGUCACAAAUCACACGCUAAUGUCUCCCAAGCUCAGUAUCUAUUUUCCUCUUUCAUGGCCCAUGGAGGAACUUUUUAAAUAGAAAUAGAAGUGUACACACACACACACACACACACUCAAACACACACACACACUAGAAACACUCAUACAGAAACACAUAUUUCUACACACAAGAAUGCAGGCAAACACACCAGACAGAUAACACACACACACACACACACACACACGCACACACAUAAAUGCCUACUUUCAUCCACUAUCCACUCAUUUCACCCUUUUCCCCAAUGAAGUGAAACCUCUAACUUUAUCCUGCCGUUUUAUCAGUCAGCCCAGACCCAGCGGCUGCUGCGGUGGACCUGUGCCAAAGCUGGGCCAGACCCGUGGCCCAGUUAGCCGUCCUUGGAGGAGAUACAGUAUCCUCCGCCGUCUGCCCCUCUCCCCUCGCUGGGGGACCCUGAGCCACAUCCUCUGGGCCGGCCAGGCCUCCCCGAUGCUGCACAUGAGAGGGGAAGACGGUCGAGAGAUGAGACUGCUGGGCCCCCGCUGUGAUUUACGGCCUGACCGAACGGCCUGUCUGGGCAGGAGGAGGGGGCCUGCCCUGUGUGUUGCCAUGGUGCUGGUGGCCGUGGAGUCUGCUUCUCAUCUAAGGCGGCCGCGGCUUCUGCUCUGCUUCAGGCUUCGGCUUCCAGAUGUGAGGCCUCUCCCUCCCUCCCUGGUCCAAGCCUCCAGGCCCCUUGACUCUCCACCAUAACUCCUCAGGCCCGUCCUUGCAGCUGCAGUUCAGAGUCCAACCCUUGUGACUGACCCCGGGUCAGCCUUUAACCCAAACUCUGGCCUUCCAAAGCUUCCAAAGGAUCUGCUUCCAAAGGAUCUGACCCACAUCCAGGUCACGUUCUGACUCGGCUCUAGCUGAUGGCUUGUCCAGCCUCGACGAUUUCCCCUUGACCCCACUGGUACACUGCUAAUGCCAGUCCCAUUCCUCAGGAUCCAGGUGCAGGCGAAGCAGUUGAACCCUCUCACCUAGCACUGCCACUCGGAUAGGUAGCAGUGUUGCACAAACAAAUAGUGUGAUUGUGAUUGGAGCCAAAAGCAAGUCUCAUAGAACUCACAUAUUUCAAUGGCCACAACAUGUUCGAUAUGCAUAAAGCUUAAGGUAUGAUAAAGCUCCUUGUCCACUUUAACAAUCCCCCAUCAUACGGUUACCCUAUGUCAACGUGUGAGUAUAAAUCCAUAUAAGAAACUCCCAUACUAGCUCCAAAUCUAAAAAAUAGCUUGUUAGCAUUCAGGUCCAGACCAAUCUUUAUUUAUUUAUCUAAGAUUGCUUAAUUAGCGUGAUGGUUCAAACACACACAAACACACUAUAAUUUCCAUCACAUUCACAUACUCCCACAUUCAAAAUACUAACUACUAACAUUUACUAGCAAUUAUUGUCUGAAAAGUUCCUUCCAGAGAAUAGAGUGUUAAAACUGACUCUGAUGUUAGUAUGUGAAUUGUUCUAAAGUUAUUCAAGACACACACACAUACACACACACACACCAAGUCCCACGCACUCUUGCACCAAACAACCCAGCCUGAGUAAAGUUACAUGGGCGCACUGGCCGGUUUUGAUUUAUGCGAAGCGAACCACAUUUGAUAUUCAUUUCCGCAACUGUGGCCAGCUAAAAAAACAACUGCAAAUAGAAGCCUACCUACAAAGGAACAGUGUGGCAUUCCAUACGUGAGUCAUUCCUAUUUUAGCAAUGUUUUUCCCUUGUUUAAUAUUCGGCAGAUGUGCGUGAUUUGACAGAUGUAAUUAUUAAAAACACCUUUUGCCUGA